rnacentral:rRNA from 1 species
CCUACGGGAGGCAGCAGUAGGGAAUAUUGGACAAUGGGGGCAACCCUGAUCCAGCUAUGCCGCGUGUGUGAAGAAGGCUCUAGGGUUGUAAAGCACUUUAGGUAAGGACGAAAAGAAUAUAGUUAAUACCUAUAUUCCGUGACUUAACUUACAGAAUAAGGACCGGCUAACUCCGUGCCAGCAGCCGCGGUAAUACGGAGGGUCCAAGCGUUAAUCGGAAUUACUGGGCGUAAAGCGCGCGUAGGCGGUUUGUCAAGUUGGAUGUGAAAUCCCUGGGCUCAACCUAGGAACUGCAUUCAAAACUUAUAGACUAGAGUACGAUAGAGGAGAGUAGAAUUCCUGGUGUAGCGGUGAAAUGCGUAGAUAUCAGGAGGAAUACCAAUGGCGAAGGCAACUCUCUGGAUCGACACUGACGCUGAGGUGCGAAAGCGUGGGUAGCAAACAGGAUUAGAUACCCUGGUAGUCCACGCCGUAAACGAUGAGAACUAGCCGUUGGAUCUAAGAUUCAGUGGUACAGCUAACGCAUUAAGUUCUCCGCCUGGGGAGUACGGCCGCAAGGCUAAAACUCAAAUGAAUGACGG